AAUUAACCUCCUAUAAGAUCGACAACGCACUGAAUUUAAGCAUAUUGCUAAGUGCAGGAAAAUAAACCAACUGGGAUUUCAUUAGUAGUGGCGAACGAACAUGAAAGAGUCCAAGAUUUAAAAUCUACAGGUACUAAGAUACUUGUCGAAUUGUAGUUUGAUGUAGUCAAUUUCAAUAGGUUAUUAUAAGAGUUAAGUGAUUACUUUUGAAUGGUCUGCUAGAAAGGGUUAAAGCCCCGUGAACAAUUAUAAUAACUUAGACAUGAAAGAGACUCUAGAGAGUCGAGUUGUUUGGGAUUGCAACUCUAAUAUAGGUAUUAGUUAAUAUCUAAGACUAAAUAUGGGGAAGACACCAAUAGCAUACAAGUACUGUGAAGGAAAGGUGAAAAGAACUUUGAAAAAAGAGUGAAAAGAACAUGAAAUUGUCAUGAGGGGAACUUGAUUCGAUUUGUUUAGAAGUCAUUGGAAACAUUCAAUUAUGGAGAAAUCUGUAGUGCGUUUGUUAAACGAUCCAUGACAUCAAUCAUAUUUUAUGGAAGGGGAAAAUGUUCUGGAAUUGUAACUAUAGAGCAAUCUUUAGUUGAAUCUGGGAAGAUAGGUCUUUUGUAGAAUAAAAAAGCAUAAAAGUGAGUCUUUUAUUAGAAAGGCUGCUUACGAGUAAAUGUAAUAUGAAAUGUGCUGGGUUUUGAUAUUUCGCUAUGGCUCAUUCAUGGGUUGUAGGAAGUUGAUAAAUUCAGUAUAAAUAGUAUUAGAAAGUAAACACGGAGAUUGAUUAAAAGGUCGAAUUAGACCCGUCUUGAAACACGGACCAAGGAGUCUAACAUGUAUGCGAAUUGAAAGGUAAAAAACCUAUAAAUGAAGCGAAAGCAAAAGGGUAGUAAUACUACUAACCAAUUCACUCUCGUAAGUGGACUGUGUCAGAGUAUACAUGAUGGGACCCGAAAGAUAUUGAACUAUGCUUGAACCGAACCAAGUCAGGAGAAAUUCUGAUGGAGGUUCGAAGCGAUACUGACGUGCAAAUCGUUCGUCUGAUUUGAGUAUAGGGGCGAAAGACUAAUCGAAAUAUUUGGUAGCUGGUUCACAUUGAAAUUUCUCCCAGGAUAGCUGAGACUAAUAUAGAUUUAUAGAAUCUAGUAAACAAUUUUAUAUGGUAAAGCGAAUGAUUAGAAGCUUUGGGUAAUCUCUUAUUCAACUUAUUCUCAAACUUUGAAUAUGUAAAACAAUAUUAUUUAUGAGCGAAAUAAUAUGGGGUAUGCAAUCUUUGUUAUUGUAUACUCGCAAUGAAAUGGAAUAGUCUUUAGUGGACCAUUUUUGGUAAGCAGAACUGGUGAUGCGGGAUGCACCGAACGUCUAGUUUAGAUGCAAAUAUGUAGGCUAAUUAAGAACCCAAAAAAGGUGUUGAUCUAUCGAGACAGCAGGAAGGUGGUCAUGGAAGUCGAAAUCCUCUAAGUAACGUGUAACAACGAACCUGCCUAAUGGAUUAGCCCUGAAAAUCGAUUGCGCUAAAGCCUUCAAUCUAAACUGGACCGUUUGAAUAGAAAGAAAUGAUUAAAAUUUAGUCAGAAAAUAAUGAAAUUUGAACGAGUAAAUGUGCGUGAAGAUAAAGAAAAAGGUUAAGAGUGAUCUUAACUGAAUUUAUUUUUAGUGUAGAUCUUGGUGGUAGUAGCAAUUAUUCAAAUGAAAAAUUUGAAGAUCGAAGCAGAGAAAGGUUUCAGGCGAACGUUGUUCGAACCUGAGUUAGUCGAUCCUAAUAUGGAGAUUAACUUUGUUAAAAGUACAAAGGCAUUUAUGCAUCUUCAACUUUGUACUUCAAUUCAUAGAAAGGGAAAUAAUUUAAAUUAUAUUAUACAUUUAUAUAAGGAACCUAGGGUAACCUACAAUGUGAUUCUGACCGUCUCCUCUUACAACUGUAGAGUUUUCUUUUCUACUUUAAUGGAUGUGCUGAAAUUCAGUCCAUGAAAUCAGAUCAACUGAAGCGAUGGAGUGAAACCAUGUAUAAAGAUGCAACCUCUGUAUCUUAUCGUAAUGGAAUUGUUUUGAGAAGGCGCCUCGAAAAAGAAUCACCUGAGACCUACGAAGAUGGAAGCAAUGAAAUUGACGUGGGAAUUCCUAAUUAUAAAUAUCGUACUCAUAACCGCAACAGGUCUCUAAGUUUUAUUAACUCUGAUCAACAAGUGAAUGUAAAUAAGGGAAGUCGGCAAAUUAAACCUGUAACUUUGGGAAAAAGGUUGGCUCUAAUGAUUGGGUAUCUGGGGCGUUUAGUAUUGAUGAGUACAACUGGAUGACUGUAACAGGGCAACCUGUGAAAUUGUCUGUGGAAAGCAUAUUAGAGACUUGUGAUGGGCAACUUGAGCAUUUUAUCUCCAUAUAUCGUUAACAAUCAAAUUAGAACUGUUACGAACAAGAAGAAUCCGACUGUUUAAUUAAAACAAAGCGUUGUGAUGUAUUGAAAAUGUAGAUGACACAACGUGAUUUCUGCCCAGUGCUCUGAAUGUGAAUUUAUAGAAAUGUACCAAAGCGCGGGUAAACGGCGGGAGUAACUAUGACUCUCUUAAGGUAGCCAAAUGCCUCGUCUUCUAAUUAGAGACGUGCACGAAUGGAUCAACGAGACUCUUACUGUCCCUAUUUACCACUUGGCGAACUCACUGUCAGGGGAACGGGCCUGACCAAAAAUAUGGGGAAAGAAGACCCUUUUGAGCUUAACUCUAGUCAGACAUUGUGAAACGACGCGAAAGGUAUAGUUAUAAGUGGGAGUUGUAAGACGAACUUGAAAUACCACUACUUUUGUAGUUGUUUUACUUAAUUUUUAUGUAGAGUAGAUGUUCUUCCAUCUAUUUCAAGAAAUAACUGUGAGAAACGUUAGAUAAGUGCUGUUAUAUCUAGUUAUGCUGAGCAAUCGCUACUGGAAUAUGUUCGUAAACAAUGCGUGUUGGUAGGAGUAGCAUUCGUAAAUGCAAAACUAAUGACCUCUAUUAUUGCGAAACGAUUUGACCUCUGAUCAUGGGAUCUAUAAAAAUGACAUUGUUUGGUAGGGAGUUUGGCUGGGGCGGCACAUUCAAUAAAUGAUAACUUGAGUGUCCAAAGUAAUACUCAAUGAGAACGGAAAUCUCAUGUAGAAUAAAAGGGUAAAAGUAUUAUUGAUUUGAAUUUUCAGUAUGAAUACAAACUGUGAAAGCACGGCCUAUCGAUCCUUAAUCUGUUUAUUAACUAAAGUUUGAGGUGUCAGAAAAGUUACCAGAGGGAUAACUGGCUUGUGGCUACCAAGAGUCCAUAUCGACGCAGCUUUUUGAUCCUUCGAUGUCGGCUCUUCUUAACCUUCGAAAGCAGAAUUUCGAAAGGGUGUGAUUGUUCACCACUCAAAAAGGAACGUGAGCUGGGUUUAGACCGUCGUGAGACAGGUUAGUUUUACCCUGUAUUUGAAUUAUAAAUCCCGAUCCACAACAGUAAUUCGAUUUAGUACGAGAGGAACCAUUGUUUCAGACAUUUAGUGUAUAAUGUUUCUCGAAAGAGAAAUGUGUUGUAGCCACGUCUGUAGGAUUACGGCUGAAAGCCUCUAAAGCCAGAAGCCUUGCUGGGAAAAUUGGAUUAGUAGAAAUGUCCAAAUUAAGGGACAAAUGGUGCUUGUUACACACACAUCGAUAAGAGUGUGUAGGACUUGAGUUUGUCUCGGCACUCUCAAUAAGACCUGAUGUUUAAUGA
rnacentral:rRNA from 1 species